AUUGAACGCUGGCGGCAGGCCUAACACAUGCAAGUCGAGCGAGCGGCGGACGGGUGAGUAAUGUCUGGGAAACUGCCUGAUGUCGGGGGAUCACUACUGGAAACGGUAGCUAAUAACGCAUACCAUCAGAUGUGCCCAGAUGGGAGUCGCUAGGCGGUGGGGUAACGGCUCACCUAGGCGACGAUCCCUAGCUGGUCUGAGAGGAUGACCAGGCAGACUGGCACUGAGACACGGUCCAGACGCCUACGGGAGGCAGCAGUGGGGAAUAUUGCACAAUGGGCGCAAGCCGGAUGCAGCCAUGCCGCGUGUGUGAAGAAGGCCUUCGGGUUGUAAAGCACGUUCAGCGGGGAGUCGUUACCCGCAGAAGAAGCACCGGCUAACUCCGUGCAAGCAGCCGCGGUAAUAC
rnacentral:rRNA from 1 species